rnacentral:lncRNA from 1 species
GUGGUUCAGGUCUUAGUCCUUGGCAUGUGUAGUACUCUUUCCUAUCCUAGGGUUUGUCUAAAGUGGUUUUCCUAAUAAGGUUUUAAUUAGGCUAUUGUAUUCAUACUAGUCUUUGUAUGCCGUUUUGGCUUAUUAAUGAAAUCUUCUUCUAUAAAAAAAGGUCUAAAAUAUCAAGGGUUUAGGAAAUAUCGGAGGUCCAAAAAUACGGAAAUAUUGGGAAAUUAUCGAUAUCGAGAAAAAUUGAAUAAAAACCACUGAAACUGUAAGAAAAUUUUGAUUCAAACUUUAGAGGUUGUUUAUUUUGUCAAUUAUCUAUUAUUUUGAUUUAUUUAAGUUGAUUAUAUAGCGAGCUAACAAACAAUAUGAGUGCAGAAAAUAUGUAGUAAUUAAUGAAAAAAAUUAAAUGCCCAUAAUCAUUUAUUCAUAAUGAUUUACUAUAAUAUUUUACACUUUAUAUAUUGCAUGGUAAGAUGCACAAGUGACUUAGUACCACAUAGAGUUCCUAUGAGGUUCAAAAUUUUCAUUGUCUUCAUCGUCUCUAUGUGUAGAGUACGUGUACUAUGAAGAGUAGUCAUCAAAUGGUAAAUUCCCAAAAUAGCUUUGCAUGUAAUUGUUAACAUGUCACCCAUAAAGAUCCAAGAUUGGUUGACGUUGCCCAUAAGCAAAAUCAUUUGAAGAUUGGGCAUCAGAUUCUUUUCAUGAGCCGCUUGAUUCUAUCCCAAAAGGCAUGGGAUACGAAGCAUAAGGAAAGAGUUGGUUUUGCAUAUAAUAAAGUCAUUAGCAGUGUGGAGGAUAAGGCAUUGGAGGAAGAAUUGAAGUGGCACGGGUUCGAAUCCCCAUGCUUACACGCGUACAAGCCUUUUCAAUUUUUUUUUUUCUAUUCCAUGUCCAUAUUGCAUUAUUAUCACUAUUAUCACGAUAUUUUGAGCAAAUGUUGAUGUUAAUUGAAGGAUAUUAUUAGUGUCGAAAUUUUCCCAAAAUUUUCACGAUAUUAUCUAUAUAUAUAAAGCAAAAGGCAGAGAAUGGUGAAACAUUCAAAAUACCAGAAAAUGCCCUUGGUUAAUACAAACAUUAAGAAUUGAAAUUAUUAAUUAAAUGAGGAUAAUAUGGUAAAUUCAUAAUUUUUCGUAUUAAAAAAAUUAAAAUUAAAAGAAAAUUCAGAUAAUAGGUCCUAUUUUUAUGGAACACAAAUAUCCAUUAUCUUUUUUAAUUCUAAAAUAAAUUUAAAUUUUUUUUAAAAAAAACCUCUCGCAUGCGCGGAAGCGCGUGUAGAGAGGCUAGUCUAUAUUUAUAUGAUAAGUACACAGAUCUGUUCCAAAAUAUCCCCUUGCCGAAAAACGAUAAUAUCCUCAAUAUUUCAGCGAUAUUAUCGAUAUUUCAGUCCUUGCACACAAUUAAGUUUCUCCUCUACUAUAGCACAAUCUCCAAACAAUAGCACACGCAACUUUGAGAAACUUUUGAAAGCAAUUUUCCAUCAAAAUCCUGAUAUUGAUUUGAUUGCCCUCCACAAGAAAACAUUCUAUGUAAUCAAUUUGACACGUGUGAUCAUAUUGCCCUUAAUAUAUUAGUACUUUUUUUCUUCUUCUGAAAACAAGAAGAGGUUUCAAAUUUAAAUCCCUUUUCCGUUAAUUUUUUUUUAAAAAUGAUGUUGGUGUAGUGCCUAUUAAAGAUGGCUUGGCGGUAAAGUUAGUCUAAUGAGAUUCUAAGAUAUAGAUGGAUUGUUUAGUUCAAGAUUUAGGAGCUUAGUAAUUGGUAUGAAAUUGCAUUCCCAUAUUUGGUAAAUGCAUUUUUUAGAAUGCAAUACCUAACUCAUUAGUAUGAAAUUCUCAUGUAGAGAGAAUUUCAUACCUUUAGUGCUCCUUGGGAAACUCUUCGUCUAUUGACCCUUAAAAUAGGGUCUAGUCUAGUGGAAAAGAGCAUUGACUUGCAGGUCAGUUGUCUCAUGUUUGAAUCUAGAUGGCACUUUGGAUGUGAGAAACCCUUUUGUAGGACUUAGACUAUCAAUAAUAUUAAAAUAAUACUAAUAAUAACUCAAGGGUGUUACUGAAAAACUGAAAAACUGAAAACUGAAAAACUUUUCAUUUAUAAUACUACACGAACCACACAUAGGAAUGCGAGAAAAUGGCUUUUCCUAAUUCUCACUUCCCAGCGUUCCCAAUCAUGGGAAUGAACAUCCGUCAUUCCCAUAUCGUAGGAUUAGACAUGGAAAUUUCAUUCCCAUGAAAUUUGCAAACCAAACGGGACAGAGAGUUGGAACAAUGCAAAGAUUUUGUUUAUCUUUUGGUUGGGCCAAUAAGUUUCUGGGCCUCCAUUUAUUGUAUCUGGGCCGUUAGAUUUCGGCCUCCCUGUUCUGUUUGUAACCCAGCGGAGGUUGGAGCGCUUUUCUUGUUCUUUGGGCUUAGUUAUAUUUCCUUGUUCUUUGGGCUAUUUCUAAAUUAUUUGGGUUGUGCCUUUUUCUGCGUUUGACGUCGUUUAAUGUUUAAUUUGUUUGAUUUUUGAGUUGGAGCUGGUUGGGUCCUUCUCAUUUGAAGGUAGGGUCAGUCUCAAAUGGAAAAUAUUAUUGCUUGAUGUGAAAAAUAAAGAAAUUCGGUUUUGUGGGCUUAUGGCCUAAAUUAAUUGAGGAAUAAUGCCAUUCAAAAGACUGAAUUAACAUGACCCACAUUUUUCCAUCCUGGAAAACUUGUUCCUUAAGCAGAUCAUGGCUACUGAUGAAGUAAAGAAGAAAGGGAUGCUUAAAAAGAGAUAUAUAUAUAUAUAUAUCAAAUGAGCCAAGAAUUAAUGAAAUUUUGUAAAACUGAGAUUACUGAAUUACUUGAAAAAGGAAUAAUCUGUAAGAUUAGUCACCCUGGUCUUGUCCUGCUUUCUAUGUCCAGAAAAAUGCUGAAUUAGAACGCGGAGUCCUAAGAUUAGUCAACCCAAGUGGCUGGUUUAGAUUUUCUGAGUCAAAAGAGUCUUUGAGCACAGCUUCAAGAAAGUCACUCCAGUUGAAUUAUGAGAUUCCUAAAGCCCAUGUCUGUCAAAAUAAAAUCUGUUUUAAGACUUCUUUUGUCUUAGUUAAGAACAUUACUGAUGAAGUCAUCCUAGGUUUAUCCUUUAUUGCCCUUUUAUAUCCUUUCCAGGUAGAACACGAUGGAGUCAUUUCCACCUGUUUAGGAGAAAAGGUUAAGUUUGAAUUCCUUAGUAAACCAGAGUUACAUAAUUUAAAAGAAUUACAAAAGAAUGCAGUCACUAAAACAAUCAGAGUCAUUCAAAAUAAAGAUAAGCAACUAAAAUUCCUCCAGGACGAAGUUAAAUAAAAAAGAAUUGAGCAACAGCUUAGUCAUGAGUCUUUACAGUCACAAAUUCGACAGUUUGAAGAAAAAUUAAAACAAGAAGUUUGUUCUGAGUUGCCCAACGCCUUUUGGCAUAGGAAACAGCAUGUAGUCAGCCUUCCUUAUGUCAAAUCCUUUAGUGAGAAAAAUAUCCCCACUAAAGCCAGACCAAUUCAAAUGAGCCAAAAAUUAAUGGAAUUUUGUAAAACUGAGAUUACUGAAUUACUUGAAAAAGGAAUAAUCCGUAAGAGUAAGUCACCUUGGUCUUGUCCUGCUUUCUAUGUCCAGAAAAAUGCUGAAUUAGAACACAGAGUCCCAAGAUUAGCCAUUAAUUACAAACUGCUUAAUACUGUUUUAGAAUGGAUUAGAUAUCCAAUCCCCAAUAAAAGAGAUUUAAUUAAUCGUUUAGAGAAGUCAGUCAUCUUUUCUAAAUUUGAUAUGAAGAGUGGAUUUUGGCAAAUCCAAAUUUGUGAGUCUGAUAGAUAUAAAACUGCUUUCGUUACCCCAUUUGGUUAUUAUGAGUGGAAUGUUAUGUCAUUUGGUCUUAAAAAUGCACCCAGUGAGUUUCAAAAUAGAAUGAAUGAGAUUUUUAUUCCAUUUAAUCACUUUUCCAUAGUCUAUAUUGAUGAUGUACUUAUAUUUUCUGAGUCAAUAGAACAGCACUGGAAAAAUUUGCAUAAGUUCUUACAAAUAGUCAAACAAAAUGGAUUAGUCGUAUCUGCUAAGAAAAUUAAGUUAUUCCAAACUAAUGUGAGAUUUCUUGGGUUUAAUAUCUGUCAGUCACAGAUUAGCCCCAUAGAUCGAGUUAUCCAAUUUGUUGAUAAAUUUCCUAAUCAAAUCCUAGACAAAAGUCAACUCCAGAGAUUUCUAGGAUCUCUAAAUUAUGUUUCUAAUUUCUAUAAGAAUUUGAGAAAACAAUGUAAGCCUUUAUUUGAUCAUGUAUGGAGACGUCUAAUGAUAAGAGGCAACUGGAAGAUUAGACGGAGCAAUAUCUUGGAAGGGAUCAUGACUGGAUAUUAGGGCAGACUGAAAACUGGGGCGAACCUGGCCGACUGUGGCUCCUAGGUUGGCAAAUCUGUUACUAAUUUGGAUGGGAGAAAAUCCCUGAAAGGGGAGGAUCUGAGCAGGUGACUCUUGUUUGGCUUGACUCAUUGAUGGAGGGAGGACUCGGAGUGACUGGGGUUGACUAGACUGACCAACUUGACUCUUUUGCUUGUCUUUUUCUUUUCUUCUUUAUGCCAUUGUUUUCCCUGCAGGAAUUCUCUAGUAAGAAAAUCAGGGACAAAAUAUAUAUAUGGAGUUUGAGUUGAGGGAUCUCUCAAAUAAGCUUAUUUGAGAGACAACUUGUAGGGUACACUCUUUGUUGUAUUUCACUAAUCCUAACCGUCUAUUUUUUAGAUAUUCAUUCAAAGAUCAUCUCUACAAAAAAUCACUUGAAUCCAAUAUCAUUUGACAAUUCAAUUGAAAUAUUGAAAUUUUAGUAUUUUCUUGAAGCACUGUGUUAAUUAAUUUUGUAUGACACAAUUGAAUAUUGAAAUAGUUUCCGAUUUGUCCAAUUUUUUUUCAAGGAUGAUCUAUAAUUGUAGGCUUAAGAAAUAGAUGGUUUGGAUCGUUGAGGGAUCCCUCAAAUAAUCUUAUUUAAAAGACACCUUUGUAGAGCUCACUCCACAUUGUAUUUCACUAAUCUAAACCGUUUAUUUUUUAGAUAAUCAUUCAAAGAUCACCUCUACAAAAAAUCACUUGAAUCCGAUAUCAUUUGACAAUUCAAUUGAGUUAUUGAAAUUUUAGUACUUUCUUAAACUACCGUGUUCAUUGAUUUUGAAGGACAUAAUUGGAUUUCGGUUUCUAUUUGUCAAAAUAUAUAUAUAUUGAACUACUUUUUGUUGCCAUUGUCUGCUGCUAGAUUCACACACACAUAUAUAUGCUCUUCCAUUGAUGAAGCUGGCAUUAUAUUUAUAGUGAAUUUCGUGAUGUGGAUUAUUGUGUUUGCGGACCAAUCAUUCUCUGUAUGUUGUGAAAGCUUUGUUUAUCAUGGUGGGUUUUGUCAUUUAAAAACAUAUACAAUGUCAACCAACCAAUUUUACAAUAUCAUAAAACACAAGUAAUAGUAUUACUGCAGUUGGAAAUUGAUAUUGCAUACAUAUAUAAAGCAAGAAACAACAUGCUCAAUCAGCCACAAGUGAAGAAACAACUUGCUGAUACAUAACCACAUGACAUGAAAAUUUCAUGCAAAUAACUAGUAAUUAUAAUGGAGUCACACUAGAAGCUGCUGCAAAAUGAGUUGGUGUCCAGAACUCUUAUUUCUAGCAAGCAACUGGCUCUCUCUCAUUUAUUCUAACUCACUAGUUGAGAUGGACAGGUGGAGUUCAGGGCUUCUGGGGUGGAUUGUAGUAUGGGGGAGGCUUCUUCUUAUAUGGAGUUGGAGGAGGAGGAGGUUUCUUCCCUUCUGGCUUUUGUGGGGGUAGAGGAGCCUUGAUUGGAGGAGGGUGUUUAGGGUAACUAGGUGUGAUUGGUUUCACAACAGGAGGUAGAGUUGGUGUCUUAGGAUAAGGUGGUGGAAGUGGCUUGGUCACCGGCGUAGGUGGCGGUGAAUGUACAAUAGGAGGCUGAGUGCUUGGUGGUUUGCCAUAAGGUGAGGAUGGUGGUGGCCUCACCACUCUAGGAGGCAGAGUUGGUGGUUUGGGUUUGGGCACUAUUGGUGGUGAUGGCUUGUUAUAAACUGGGGGUGAUGGCUUCUUGAUGGGAGCUGGGGGCUUGUAAAUAGGAGAAGGAGUUGGUGGUUUGGGUUUGGGCACUAUUGGUGGUGAUGGCUUCUUGAUGGGAGCUGGGGGCUUGUAAAUAGGAGAAGGAGUGGGUGGCUUGGGUUUUUCAUUGUACUCAGCUAGAGAUGAAGUGAUGAGAACCACCAGGCCAAACAAUAGCACAAGCAACUUUGAGUAACUCAUGGUGUUUGUGUUUUUG